ACAUACAUGUAGACAGCAAAUUA
rnacentral:piRNA from 1 species